UGGGUAACCUGCCUCAAAGAGGGGAAUAGCCUCCCGAAAGGGAGAUUAAUACCGCAUAAGAUGUUUAAGUCGCAUGACUUUAACAUCAAAGGAUUUUCUUUUAGAACUUCCACUUUGAGAUGGACCCCGCGGCGCAUUAGCUAGUUGGUGAGGUAACGGCUCACCAAGGCAACGAUGCGUAGCCGACCUGAGAGGGUGAUCGGCCACAUUGGAACUGAGACACGGUCCAGACCUCCGUAGGGAGG
rnacentral:rRNA from 1 species